rnacentral:rRNA from 1 species
AUUGAACGCUGGCGGCAGGCCUAACACAUGCAAGUCGAGCGGAUGAAGGGAGCUUGCUCCUGGAUUCAGCGGCGGACGGGUGAGUAAUGCCUAGGAAUCUGCCUGGUAGUGGGGGAUAACGUCCGGAAACGGGCGCUAAUACCGCAUACGUCCUGAGGGAGAAAGUGGGGGAUCUUCGGACCUCACGCUAUCAGAUGAGCCUAGGUCGGAUUAGCUAGUUGGUGGGGUAAAGGCCUACCAAGGCGACGAUCCGUAACUGGUCUGAGAGGAUGAUCAGUCACACUGGAACUGAGACACGGUCCAGACUCCUACGGGAGGCAGCAGUGGGGAAUAUUGGACAAUGGGCGAAAGCCUGAUCCAGCCAUGCCGCGUGUGUGAAGAAGGUCUUCGGAUUGUAAAGCACUUUAAGUUGGGAGGAAGGGCAGUAAGUUAAUACCUUGCUGUUUUGACGUUACCAACAGAAUAAGCACCGGCUAACUUCGUGCCAGCAGCCGCGGUAAUACGAAGGGUGCAAGCGUUAAUCGGAAUUACUGGGCGUAAAGCGCGCGUAGGUGGUUCAGCAAGUUGGAUGUGAAAUCCCCGGGCUCAACCUGGGAACUGCAUCCAAAACUACUGAGCUAGAGUACGGUAGAGGGUGGUGGAAUUUCCUGUGUAGCGGUGAAAUGCGUAGAUAUAGGAAGGAACACCAGUGGCGAAGGCGACCACCUGGACUGAUACUGACACUGAG